AACCAUCAUUCUCAGCAAACUAUCACAAGGACAAAAAACCAAACACCACAUGUUCUCACUUAUAGGUGGGAAUUGAACAAUGAGAACACAUGGACACAGGAAGGGGAAUAUCACACACCGGGGACUGUUGUAGGGUUGGGGGAGGGGGAAGGGAUAGCAUUAGGAGAUAUACCUAAUGCUAAAUGAUGAGUUAAAAGGUGCAGCACACCAACAUGGCACAUGUAUACAUAUGUAACAAACCUGCACAUUGUGCACAUGUACCCUAAAACUUAAAGUAUAUUAAUAAUAAAAUAAAAAACAAACAAAUAAAUAAAUAGAUAAUUUACUCCUUUCCUAUUUGGAUGCUGUUUAUUUCUUUUUAUUUUCUAUUUGCUCUCUAGGACUUCCAGUGCUUUUAAAUAGAAGUGGCAAGAGUGGGCAUUCUUUUCUUCUUCUCAAUCUCAGAGAUAAAACUUUCAGUUUUUUACAAUUAAGUAUGAUGUUAGCUAUAGGCUUGUCAUAUAUAUUUUUUAAAAAGAUUUAAAAAAAUUAAAUUAUUUUUUAACAUUUUUGUGGGUACAUGGUGUAUAUAUUUAUGGGGUACAUGAGAUGUUUUGAUAAAGGCAUGCAAUGUGAAAUAAGCAUAUCAUAAGGGGAAAUAGGAUAUCCAUCACCUCAACCAUUUAUUAUUUGAAUUACAAACAAUCCAAUUAUGUUCUUUUAGUUAUUUACAAAUAUAUAAUUAAGUUAUUAUGACUAUAAUCACCCUCUUGUACAGUCAGAUAGUAGAUCUUAUUCAUUCUAUUUUAUUGGACCCAUUAACUCUCCCCACCUCCUCCCCCCCUCAGCCUCCCACUACCUUUCCCAGCCUCUGGUAACCAUCCUUCUACUCUUGAUGUCCAUUAGUUCAAUUUAUUGGACUUUUAGAUCCCACAAAUGGGUGAGAACAUUCAACGUUUGUCUUUCUGUGCCUUAUUUCACCUAAAAUAAUGAUCUCCAGUUCCAUCUAUGUUGUUGCAAAUGAUAGAAUCUCAUUCUUUUUUAUUGCAGACUUUAUUGUGUGUAUGUAGCACAUUUUCUCUAUCAAUUCAUUUGUUGAUGGACACUUAGGUUGCUUCCAAAUGUUACCUAUUGUAAACAGUGCUGCAACAAACAUAGGAGUGCAGGUAUAUCCCUGAUAUACUGAUUUCCUGUCUUUUGGGUAUAUACCCAGCAGUGGGAUUGCUGGAUCAUAUGGUAACUCUAUUUUUAGUUUUUUGAGGAACCACCAAACUGUUCAUAGUGGUUGUACUAAUUUACAUUUUAACCAACAGUAUACAAGGGCUUCCUUUUCUCCACAUUUUCACCAGCAUUUGUUACUGCCUGUCUGUUGAAUGUAAGACAUUUUAACUGGGGUGAGAUGGUAUCUUACUGUACUUUUUAUUUGCAUUUACCUUAUGAUCGAUGAUGUUGAGCACCUUUUCAUGUGAUUGUCACUUCUAUGUCUUCUUUUGAUCAAUGUCUAUUCAGAUCUUUUGCUCACUUUUUGAUUGGAUCAUAUUUUUUUCUUUUGAAUUGUUUGAGCUCCCUAUAUAUUCUGCUUAUUAAUCCCUUGUCAGAGGGGUAGUUUGCAAAUAUAUUCUCCUAUUCUGUGCAUUGUUGAUUGUAUUAUUUGCUGUGCAGAAGUUUUUUAACUGGAUGUAAUCUCAUUUGUCCAUGUUUGCUUUGAUUACCGGUGCUUGUGGGGUAUUACUCAGAAAAUCUUUGCCCAGAUCAAUGUCCUGGAGAUUUUCUCCAAUAUUUUCUUGUAGUAGUUUCAUAGUUUGAGGUCUCAGAUUAAAGUCUUUAAUGCAUUUUAAUUUGAUUUUUGUAUAUGGUGGAAGAUAGAGGUUUAGUUUCAUUCUUUUGCAUAUCGAUAUCCAGUUUUCUCAGCAUCAUUAAUCUAAGACUUUUUCCUCGUGUAUGUUCUUGGCUCCUUUAUAAAAAUAAGUUAGGAGGCUCACACUUGUAAUCCCAGCAGUUUGGGGGGCCAGGCAAAUGGAUCUCUUGAGGUCAGGAGUUUGAGACAAGCUUGGCCAACAUGGUGAAAACCUGUCUCUACUAAAAAUACAGAAUCAGUUGAGCCCAGGAGGUGGAGGUUGCAGUGAGCCAAGAUUACACCACUGUACUCCAGCCUGGGCAACAGAGCAAGACUCUAUCUCAAAAAAAAAAAAAGUUCACUCUAGAUAAAUGGAUUCAUUUAUAGGUUCUCUAUUCUGUUCCAUUGGUCCGUCUGACUCCUUUUUAUUCCAGUGCCAUGCUGUUUUGCUUACUGUAGCUCUGUAGUAUAAUUUGAAGUCAGGUAAUGUGAUUCCUCCAGUCUUGUCAUUUUUGCUUAGGAUAGCUUUGGCUAUUCUAGGUCUUUUGUGGUUCCAUAUAAAUUGUAGGUCUGAUUUUUCCAUUUCUGUGAGGAAUGUAAUUGGUAUUUUGUUGGGGAUUGCAUUGAAUCUAUAGAUUGCUUUGAGUAGUAUGGACAUUUUAACAAUAUUGAUUUUUUUCUGAUUUAUAAACAUAAAAUUCUUUUCUAUUUUUUAAUGUUCUCUUCAAUUUUCUUCAUCAGUGUUUUUCAGUUUUUGUUAUAGAGAUUUUAAAUUCUUUAGUUAAUUUCUAGGUAUUUAAUUUUAUGUGUAGCUAUUGUAUAUGGGAUUACUUUUUAAUUUAUUUUUUACAUUGUUCACUGUUGACAUAUAGAAAUGCUACUGAUUUUGUACAUUGAUUUUGUAUCCUAUAAAUAUACUGAAUUUGUUUAUCAGUUUUAAUAGUUUCUUGGUGAUAUCUAUAGGUUUUUCCAAAUAUAAGAUUAUAUCAUCAGCAAACAAGGACAAUUUGACUUCUUCCUUUCCAAUUUGGAUUCUCUUCAUAUCUUUCUCUUGUCUGAUUACUCUAGCUAGGACUUACAGUACAAUGUUGAAUAAUAGUAAUGACAGUGGACAUCCUUGUGUUCCAGAUUUUAAAGGAAAGUCUUUUAGUUUUUCCCCAUUCAAUAUGAUACUCACUGUGGAUCUGUUGUAUAUAAAUUUUAUUAUAUUGAGGUAUGCUUUUAUCUAUAUUCAGUAUUUUGAGGGUUUUAAAAAUGAUGGAUGUUUAAUUUUAUCAAAUGCUUUGUCAGUAUCAAUUGAAAUGAUAUGGCUUUUAUCCUUCAUUUUCUUGAUGUGAUGUAUCAUGUUGAUUGAUGUGCAAUUGUUGAAACAUUCUUGCUCCCAGAAUUAAAUCCCACUUGAUCAUAAUGAAUAAUCCUGUUAAUAUAUUGUAGAACUUAGUUUGCUACUAUUUUGUUGAUGAUUUUUGCAUUAAUAUUGUUGUAUUCGUCUGUUCUCACACUGCUAAUAAAGACAUACCUGAGAUUGGGUAAUUUAUAAAUGAAAG
rnacentral:lncRNA from 1 species